rnacentral:rRNA from 1 species
CGCGUAGGUGGUAGUGUAAGUCUGGAGUGGAAUGCCGGGGCUUAACCCUGGAAUUGCCUUGGAAACUGCAUUACUUGAGUCAGUGAGGGGAGGGUAGAAUUCCUGGUGUAGCGGUGAAAUGCGUAGAUAUCAGGAGGAAGGCCUGUGGCGAAGGCGGCCCUCUGGUGCUGGACUGACACUGAGGCGCGAAAGCGUGGGGAGCAAACAGGAUUAGAUACCCUGGUAGUCCACGCCCUAAACGGUGGGCACUAGGUGUAGGGCUCGUAAGGGUUCUGUGCCGAAGGGAAACCAUUAAGUGCCCCGCCUGGGGAGUACGGCCGCAAGGUUGAA